CAUUGGGGCUGGCUUUUCGUGCAGUCGAGCGGCAGCGGAAGUAGCUUGCUACUUUGCCGGCGAGCGGCGGACGGGUGAGUAAUGUCUGGGAAACUGCCUGAUGGAGGGGGAUAACUACUGGAAACGGUAGCUAAUACCGCAUAACGUCGCAAGACCAAAGAGGGGGACCUUCGGGCCUCUUGCCAUCAGAUGUGCCCAGAUGGGAUUAGCUAGUAGGUGGGGUAACGGCUCACCUAGGCGACGAUCCCUAGCUGGUCUGAGAGGAUGACCAGCCACACUGGAACUGAGACACGGUCCAGACUCCUACGGGAGGCAGCAGUGGGGAAUAUUGCACAAUGGGCGCAAGCCUGAUGCAGCCAUGCCGCGUGUAUGAAGAAGGCCUUCGGGUUGUAAAGUACUUUCAGCGGGGAGGAAGGCGUUGAGGUUAAUAACCUCAGCGAUUGACGUUACCCGCAGAAGAAGCACCGGCUAACUCCGUGCCAGCAGCCGCGGUAAUACGGAGGGUGCAAGCGUUAAUCGGAAUUACUGGGCGUAAAGCGCACGCAGGCGGUCUGUCAAGUCGGAUGUGAAAUCCCCGGGCUCAACCUGGGAACUGCAUUCGAAACUGGCAGGCUAGAGUCUUGUAGAGGGGGGUAGAAUUCCAGGUGUAGCGGUGAAAUGCGUAGAGAUCUGGAGGAAUACCGGUGGCGAAGGCGGCCCCCUGGACAAAGACUGACGCUCAGGUGCGAAAGCGUGGGGAGCAAACAGGAUUAGAUACCCUGGUAGUCCACGCCGUAAACGAUGUCGACUUGGAGGUUGUGCCCUUGAGGCGUGGCUUCCGGAGCUAACGCGUUAAGUCGACCGCCUGGGGAGUACGGCCGCAAGGUUAAAACUCAAAUGAAUUGACGGGGGCCCGCACAAGCGGUGGAGCAUGUGGUUUAAUUCGAUGCAACGCGAAGAACCUUACCUACUCUUGACAUCCAGAGAACUUAGCAGAGAUGCUUUGGUGCCUUCGGGAACUCUGAGACAGUGCCUGCAUGGCUGUCGUCAGCUCGUGUUGGUGAAAUGUUUGGGUUAAGUCCCGCAACGAGCGCACCCUUAUCCUUUGUGCCAGCGGUCCGGCGGGUACUCAAAGAGACUGCAGUGAUUAAACUGGGAGAGAAAAGGGUGGGGAAUGACGUCAAGUCAUCAUGCCCCUACGGUAGCUACCCACGUGCUACAUGGCCAUACAAGAGAAGCGACCUUCGGAGCAAGCGAACCUCAUAACGGCAUGUACUCCGGGGAAUAGGGAA
rnacentral:rRNA from 1 species